rnacentral:lncRNA from 1 species
AAAAAAAAAUCCAUGGUGGUGUGUACAGUGCUGGUGAAGUGGAAAGAAACAGGCUAGUGAGGCUGGAGGGAGCAGCACCAUGCUGCUGUCAGCUUCUGCAAACACACAGCUUCAUUUCUAACAUGGCUCUUUCUCCAGACCUCUCACACAAAUAGUUCCAGAACCCUGGAAUUUGUCUGCAAGGUCUGCAGCUUGUGAAAAUCUCACAGAGGUCAAUAUUUCCAGGGCAGCAAGCUCACUGCUGUUAUGCAGAGAUUCAUUGCACUUUGCCUGUCAGCCUGGCAUCACGAUCCACCGGAUGGCUUUCACCCCCCAGCAGCUGCCCACGUUCAUUUAAACUGGCAGGAUGACACCGUGCCGAUCUGCCGCCGGAAGCAGCGGUGGCAGCGCUCAGGAUGGCGCCGGACCUCCUUCUUCCAGGGGAUGGGCCAGGUCUUUCCCCAUGGCACCAGCAGAGGAGCAGCACUGCCCAGGGCGGCUGGAACACCCGGCACCACUCUGCCUCUGCAGUCACACGUUUCCUUUCUGACAACGGGGAAAGGGGUUUACCACUUCCAGGGCCUUUCUGCACGGGUUUGGGGGAGGUUGAAAAAUAGACACCUUCUUUCAGAUGUGGGUGCUGGGGAAGGGCAGGACUGGGCUGUCACCUCUGAGCUGUCUCCUCUGAGCUGUCUCCUCUGAGCUGUCCCUGAGGGUUCAGAGGGAGUUGUGGUCAGGUCACAGCCUACCUCGAUGUGUACAGGCGUGGUGUGGUGAGCAAGGCAGCGCAGAACACUGGGAGAACAGAAAUCUGUGCCCAAAACCCACCUGCCCACACAAAGACACAGAUUACCCAGCACAGAGCCACUGCACAUCAAGUGCCUUGGCACCUCCAUGCCAUCAAGUGACCACCAACUUCAGCCUUAACCCAGCAUGUGACACAGCUCAUCCAGCACCCUACAAUCUCCAGGUGUACCAGCACUUUGCAGGACAGGAUUAUAAGGAUCUCUGACUGCAUGCUGGGGACUGUCCUCAGGGGACACAAAACUGCUGUUACUCCCCAAUUUAAAAGCCUCCUGGCUCAUUUAGCUUUUGGCAUGCAUCAUUUUUGCUACCUGUUCCUAAGAAGAGACCAUCUUCAUGAUUUUCUGCAUUCUCUGAUAAUGUUUCCCUCCUAAGAAAUAUCCUUUCAAAGGGCCUUUAUCUGCAGGGUUGGCUGAGGGUCUAAUAUUGCAUCCCCAUUCUGCAUUUGCUGAAAGAGCUGAUAAUGUCCUAAAAAGAAUUAACAUUUAGAUGUUAGUCCUGUAACCAAAUCUGAAUCAAACAAUGAUGACCGUUCAAAUGUCUAAAGCUACUCAGGGGUAUUUUCAUUUAAGCCCUACCAAGCUUGUACCAGGGGUGAGGAGGUUUCUAAAGAUGCCUUUGUGAGCACCAGCCUCUGAAACCCUUCUCCUUGUCCCUCCAGACACAGAUACAAUUAUACCCAGCUCCAGCACAAAGAUAAAGGCUGAAUUACAAGAGCAGCAUUAUGCUCCACAAUCAAGGUCCUUGAUUCCAAUUGACAAGGAACGCAAAUCAUGCGCAGUUUAUCUGCGGAUGCUUCCACUCCUGGAAAUCAUUCCCAUCACAGGAUAGAAAUGAGUUCAAUAGACAGGGUUACCUUUUGCAUUUCCUCCCCAAAUUGCUAAAUCACCUUGUCAGUUUGUGAGAUCUCACAAGUAAUGCAGGGUCAAACCUGUCCAACACUUGUCUGAGAUAUUUCUUUGUGGAAGGUUUAACUACCAGCUGCUACAGUUUCCCUGAUAAUAAAGUGUUUUCUUACCUUUAGUGGCA